UACGGAGGAUGCAAGCGUUAUCCGGAAUGAUUGGGCGUAAAGCGUCCGCAGGUGGCCAUGUAAGUCUGCUGUCAAAGCGUCUGGCUCAACCAGAUAAAGGCAGUGGAAACUACAUAGCUAGAGUAAGGUAGGGGUAGAGGGAAUUCCCGGUGUAGCGGUGAAAUGCGUAGAGAUCGGGAAGAACAUCGGUGGCGAAAGCGCUCUACUGGACGGUGACUGACACUCAGGGACGAAAGCUAGGGGAGCGAAUGGG
rnacentral:rRNA from 1 species